GUAGGUGAACCUGCGGAAGGAUCAUUACCUUUUAGUACAGAAGCGUUGUGUGGGUUGAGUUGCGCUUGGGGAGUUGGCUACCUUUAGCUGGCUCCUUGAGUGGCAACUCCCCUCAUAAUACUCCCUGUAUAUCACCCUUGUCUUUGGCGCACCAUUGUUUCCUUGGCGGGCAUGCCCGCCAAUAGGACAAUCUUAUAACCUUUUUUAAUUUUCAAUCAGCGUCUGAAAUAAUUUUAAUAAUUACAACUUUCAACAACGGAUCUCUUGGUUCUG
rnacentral:misc_RNA from 1 species